CCUACGGGGGGCUGCAGUGAGGAAUAUUGGUCAAUGGACGAGAGUCUGAACCAGCCAAGUAGCGUGAAGGAUGAAUGCCCUAUGGGUUGUAAACUUCUUUUAUAUGGGAAUAAAAUGUUCCACGUGUGGGAUUUUGUAUGUACCAUAUGAAUAAGGAUCGGCUAACUCCGUGCCAGCAGCCGCGGUAAUACGGAGGAUCCGAGCGUUAUCCGGAUUUAUUGGGUUUAAAGGGAGAGUAGGUGGAUUGUUAAGUCAGUUGUGAAAGUUUGCGGCUCAACCGUAAAAUUGCAGUUGAAACUGGCAGUCUGGAGUACAGUAGAGGUGGGCGGAAUUUGUGGUGUAGCGGUGAAAUGCUUAGAUAUCACGAAGAACUCCGAUUGCGAAGGCAGCUCACUGGACUGCAACUGACACUGAGGCUCGAAAGUGUGGGUAUCAAACAGGAUUAGAUACCCGAGUAGUC
rnacentral:rRNA from 1 species